AUACCUGCCUGGCAGGGGAGAUACCAGGAUCAAGAAAGAUGCUUGACACAGGGCGAGGCUUAUCCACGGCACACCAGAUGUGCUGACCCCUGUGACUUCUCCAGAUGCAGGGAAGCUGCAUAAUUUGUGGCAGUAGGGGAUUGAAUUUGUGUUCUCCCCUU